rnacentral:rRNA from 1 species
ACAAGAAAUAAUCUGUCUUAGGUUAAUAUAUUGAAUUUAACUUUUAAGUGAAAAGGCUUAAAUAAUCUGAAGGGACGAUAAGACCCUAUAAAACUUUAUAUUGAAAAGUGGUAGGCACGAUUUGUUUAAGGUUAUUACUUUAAAGUAUUUGGUUGGGGUGACAAGAAUAGAAUGAAAAGUAACUGUUUUUUUUUUUUAACAGUGAUGUUUGAGUUUAUGAUCCUAAAAUGGAUUAAAAGAUUAAGUUACUUUAGGGAUAACAGCGUAAUUUUCUUUAAGAGUUCUUAUCGAUAAGAAAGUUUGCGACCUCGAUGUUGAAUUAAAGGUUCUUUAUGGAGAAGAGACUAUAAAAGAAGGUCUGUUCGA